rnacentral:ncRNA from 1 species
AUUUCAAGGCGGGGUGCGAUUCCCCACCGGCGGUAUUUUCAUAUUUGAUGGAUAAGCCCGCAAGCCUUUACAGGCAUGAUUUGGUGAGAUUCCAAAGCCGACAGUAUAGUCUGGAUGAGAGAAAU